rnacentral:rRNA from 1 species
CUGGGCGUAAGAGUUGCGUAGGUGGCAUUGUAAGUUGGUAGUGAAAGCAUGCGGCUCAACCGCAUACACAUUACCAAAACUGCAAAGCUUGAGGACGAGAGAGGCAUCUGGAAUUCCUAGUGUAGGAGUGAAAUCCGUAGAUAUUAGGAGGAACACCGAUGGCGUAGGCAGGGUGCUGGCUCGUUCCUGACACUAAGGCACGAAAGCGUGGGGAGCAAACGGGAUUAGAUACCCCGGUAGUCCACGCCGUAAACUAUGGAUGCUAGCUGUAUUCGGUAUCGACCCCGGAUGUAGCGAAGCUAACGCGUUAAGCAUCCCGCCUGUGGAGUACGAGCGCAAGCUUAAAACAUAAAGGAAUUGACGGGGACCCGCACAAGCGGUGGAGCGUGUUGUUUAAUUCGAUGGUAAACGAAGAACCUUACCCAGGCUUGACAUCCUAGGAAGGUCUCCGAAAGGAGACUGUGCCUUGUGAGCCUAGUGACAGGUGAUGCAUGGCCGUCGUCAGCUCGUGUCGUGAGAUGUUUGGUUAAGUCCAUCAACGAGCGCAACCCUUAUGUUUAGUUGAAUUUCUCUAAACAGACUGCCCUGGUAACAGGGAGGAAGGGGGGGAUGAUGUCAGGUCAGUAUU